rnacentral:rRNA from 1 species
AUUGAACGCUAGCGGGAGGCCUAACACAUGCAAGUCGAACGAGUGGCGGACGGGUGAGUAAUAUAUGGGAAUGUGCCCAGUAGAGGGGGAUAACUACUGGAAAGGGUGGCUAAUACCGCAUACUAUUGGCGAGGCCGAUAUCGGAUUAGCUAGUUGGUGGGGUAAAGGCUCACCAAGGCGACGAUCCUUAGCUGGUUUGAGAGGACGACCAGCCACACUGGGACGGAGACAGUGCCCAGACUCCUACGGGGGGCAGAUGUGGGUAAUUUGGGACAAUGGGGGAAACCCUGAGCCAGCCAUCCCGCGUGUAUGAGAAGGCCUUAGGGUUGUAAAGUACUUUUGGCAGAGAAGCGGUAUCUGCAGAAUAAGCACCGGCUAACUCCGUGCCAGCAGCCGCGGUAAUUC